rnacentral:rRNA from 2 species
CAGCCGCCGCGGUAAAACCAGCACCUCAAGUGGUCAGGAUGAUUAUUGGGCCUAAAGCAUCCGUAGCCUGCUUUGUCAGUUUUCGGUUAAAUCCAUACGCUCAACGUAUGGGCUGCCGGGAAUACUACAAAGCUAGGGAGUGGGAGAGGUAGACGGUACUCGGUAGGAAGGGGUAAAAUCCUUUGAUCUAUUGAUGACCACCUGUGGCGAAGGCGGUCUACCAGAACACGUCCGACGGUGAGGGAUGAAAGCUGGGGGAGCAAACCGGAUUAGAUACCCGGGUAGUCCCAGCUGUAAACUAUGCAAACUCGGUGAUGCAUUGGCUUGAUGCCAAUGCAGUGCCGCAGGGAAGCCGUUAAGUUUGCCGCCUGGGAAAUACGUACGCAAGUAUGAAACUUAAAGGAAUUGGCAGGGGAGCAC